CAGAGGGGGCAAGCGUUGUCCGGAAUUACUGGGCGUACAGCGCGCGCAGGCGGACCGCCACGUGCCGUGUGACAAGCCACUGCUCAACAGUGGAGGGCCAUGGUACACGAGCAGUCUGGAGGCAGGGAGAGGGAUGUGGAAUGCCCGGUGGAGCGGUGAAAUGCGUAGAGAUCGGGCGGAACACCAGCGGCGAAGGCGGCAUCCUGGUCCUGUACUGACGCUGAGGCGCGAGAGCGUGGGGAGCAAACUGGAUUAGAUACCCAGGUAGUCCACGCCGUAAACGAUGUGUACCCGGCGCUGGGGAGUGAUUGCGCUCCUCGGUGCCUCAGCUUACGCAGUGAGUACACCGCCUGGGGACUACGGCCGCAAGGCUA
rnacentral:rRNA from 1 species